rnacentral:rRNA from 1 species
AGUGAACGCUGGCGGUAGGCCUAACACAUGCAAGUCGAACGACAGCACAGUAAGAGCUUGCUCUUACGGGUGGCGAGUGGCGGACGGGUGAGGCAUACAUCGGAAUCUACUUUUUCGUGGGGGAUAACGUAGGGAAACUUACGCUAAUACCGCAUACGACCUACGGGUGAAUGCAGGGGAUCUUCGGACCUUGCGCGAUUGAAUGAGCCGAUGUCGGAUUAGCUAGUUGGCGGGGUAAAGGCCCACCAAGGCGACGAUGCGUAGCUGGUCUGAGAGGAUGAUCAGCCACACUGGAACUGAGACACGGUCCAGACUCCUACGGGAGGCAGCAGUGGGGAAUAUUGGACAAUGGGCGCAAGCCUGAUCCAGCCAUACCGCGUGGGUGAAGAAGGCCUUCGGGUUGUAAAGCCCUUUUGUUGGGAAAGAAAAGCAGCAGGUUAAUACCCCGCUGUUCUGACGGUACCCAAAGAAUAAGCACCGGCUAACUUCGUG